ACUGCUUUCUGUUUGUCUAUAUGCCACAGCACACUAAAGAGUGAAGCUAGACUAGCUACCUAGGCUGCAGAUUUCGCUUUUCUUGAAGCUUGCAUUGUUCUGAAAAGGGAACCUGAUCUUAGGGCGCGCCUUAUAUUAUUCAGGAAACCUGGUCUUUUUUCUUGACAGGGGGAAAUCUGGUCUUAUAGUUAACUGAUAUUUCUAUACAUGAUGCAUGCAGCUUAUAAUAUCGGGUCGUUUGACUUUCCGUAUAAGUGGCUUAUAAACCCAAACACCAGCUCGCAUUAUCUUUUUUGCUUAACAGCUUGCUACUAGUUUACCGUAAACAAAAUCAGUUAUCGAUCAUCAGCAGACUCUUACAAGUUUGCUCUAUUUUGAUCAUUAAUUAAUGUUCAACUUAUGAUGGCCGUUGUGUUAAUAUAUAUCACAACUAAAAGUUUUAAUAUAUAAUGCACGGUUUCGAUCUCUUAGCUUGUCAGGAAAUUAUAUGACUUCCAUUUGAAGAAAUAUAUGCAUGGUUGUUCAGUAUAAAUAUAAACUUAUAUAUAGUAAUAAUUAAGCAAUUACAAUAUAGCAUGGGGGCAAUGGGGGUACUGGCCUUCAUAACUUCUGAAAUAUCACCAUAUUGCAGUUAUAUUUGUGAAGUUAAUUAGUUUUGAUCCCAGGAUAUAUAUGAAAAUUGACCAGCUGGGUCCAAAAUGUCUCGUGUCUUCUUAGUUUGGCUUUAUUUCUUCUACUUAUGUAUACUGAACACUUUAACUUAGUAUCAUCGUCUUGUUCUAUUCCUCAAUGAGGCCUCUAUGUAUCAUCCUGAAGCUGCAUGCAGGCACUUGAUUACAAAGUCAUAUUGUUUCAAUUUACUCUUGCUCAUCGCCCACAUAUAUACAUUAUACAUAAACUAUAUAUAUCUGUAGAGUCACACUCGUGAUAUAAAUAUAAAGAAAUUAAACAUCCUGCGGUUAUGGUUUUCUAUACAUGCACGGUCACUAAAAGCCUGAAUGUUUUGUAUAACAUUUACAUUACAUUUUGAGUUAAAGCAUAAUAAAUCAGAUUAACAAAUUUGUUUCAGAUACAACAGUACAAGAUAUAUAUGAGCAUAUCAGAUCAAACAAAUCAUCAUGUGUGGAACAACAGAAAUUGCAGGCCAUCUGGCUCUCUUAUAUAUCACAUAUAUAAGCCAAACAAGUACAUUGAAAAAGCCUACUUAUAUCUUGCCGAAAUAACAAUUUUUUUAAUAGAAACUCAUGCUUAAAAAUCUUGCUACAUAUAUGCAUAUGAUAUUUUCACAAUCUGGUUAUAAUGUCUUAUUAAUAUAUUAAGUACCGCUAAUGAAAUAUGUAAUAUCCAGAAACAGCAGUUAACUGUUACAUAUAUAUAAAAUCAUUUGUACGUAAUCUUUGUACAAGAAUCAGGGUACCAUUCUCUUCAACUGAUCACCAAUCAUUUCCACAGAUCAAUUUGACAACUUGAAGUUGACGUUGAGGUGAUUUCUUGAUCGAAUAUAUCUUGCUUAUUCAAAUUUCUGAUGAGUAAGCUCGAGCUAUCAUCAUCCUCAGCAGAAAUGAUACUGGCUAAUGUGGCUGAAUUGACAUUCAAACAAUCCUGAUUUUGCUUGGGAACAUCUUCAUGACUGAGUUGUGAAGCAACAAAUUUGUCAAGAACUCGCCAAUCUGUAACUGGCUCGAGGCCUUGAUCAUAAGAAUUAGAAGGAAUGCUAAAUUGGUCUUGUGUGAGUGACGAGGAUUGCAUAAUGUUUCUGCUAAGGUUUACAUUAAGGCCGUGCACGGGCAUGUAAGUGCAGUUUGUGAGGAUAGGCAGUGGUGCUUGCAGAAUCUUUGGAGUUUCGAGUAGGGGGAGUUGGAGAAAAUGAUCCGAGCUAGAAAGAUUUUGGUAGUGAAAGUCCUGCUCUUUUUUGCAAGAAUAAGGAUAGUGGUAAGAAAUGUUUGGCUGUUUCGGAGAAUCCAUGUCAGGCAUGAAUGACACUUGAUCUUCAUACCAUAUUGGUGACUCGUGCUCGCUCAUUCUCCGUACUGUUGCAAUUCUCUUCUUGAACACCCUACAUACAACCCAUCCUUCUUCCUGAUUGGGUGCAUUUUCAUCCGUUUCAAGGCGAUACUCGUGCAUUAUCCAGUCAGACUUCUGGCCAUUGGGGGCGCGGCCUUUGUAAUAGACCAAGGUCUUCCUCAUACCAACUAAAUCAUGCUUGGAGUAGAUUGCUUUAUCU